GCCCAAAUCCCAAAUUGCUGUGAAUGAU
rnacentral:piRNA from 1 species